rnacentral:rRNA from 1 species
UACAGAGGUCCCGAGCGUUGUUCGGAUUCACUGGGCGUAAAGGGUGCGUAGGCGGUUCUGAAAGUCUGAUGUGAAAUCUCCGGGCCCAACCCGGAAAUGGCAUUAGAAACUGCAGGGCUAGAGGCUUGGAGGGGGAACUGGAAUGCUCGGUGUAGCAGUGAAAUGCGUAGAGAUCGAGCGGAACACCAGUGGAAGGCGAGUUCCUGGACAAGACCUGACGCUGAGGCACGAAAGCCAGGGGAGCAAACAGG